UGAUUCAGUUCUUUAACAAUUACCCAGAAUCACUGCGGCUUCUCUCGUUGCAUGACAAUAAAUAUUUACGUUACUUUAAGGGUCAUCAUGACAGGGUUGUUUCCCUUAGCUUGUGCUCUAGGAAAGAAUAUUUGAUCUCUGGAUCUCUUGAUCGGGCUGUUUUGCUUUGGGACCAAAGAGCAGAUAAAUGUCAGGGUCUUCUACGUGUCCAAGGUAGACCAGCUGCAGCUUAUGACGAUCAGGGGCUUGUUUUUGCCAUUGCUUUCGGAGGAUACGUACGAAUAUUUGAUGCUCGCAAGUAUGAAAA